AUCGCUUCUUGACCUUUUGGCUAAGAUCAAGUGUAGUAUCUGUUCUUAUCAGUUUAAUAUCUGAUAAUCCUCUAUCUGAGUACAAUAUAUUAAAUAAAUGUUUGGAAUUAAAAGUUGGAAUAGGAGCUUGCUCUAUCCACUCCACACAUCAACCUGGUAUUGCAGUACCUCCAGGAAUGGUGCACCCCUU
ensembl:snRNA U2 U2 spliceosomal RNA